UACGGAGGGUGCAAGCGUUGCUCGGAAUUAUUGGGCGUAAAGGGUAGGUAGGUGGUCUUAUUUGUCUGGGGUGAAAGCCUUGGGCUUAACUCAAGAAGUGCCCCAGAAACGGUAAGACUAGAGUCCUGGAGAGGGUCGUGGAAUUCCCGGUGUAGCGGUGAAAUGCGUAGAGAUCGGGAGGAACACCAGAGGCGAAGGCGGCGACCUGGACAGGCACUGACACUCAACUACGAAAGCGUGGGGAGCAAACAGG
rnacentral:rRNA from 1 species